GAUUGAGACCUGAGAAAUGUACAAGCCAUGUUUUUUGUUUCCAUUGUCGGCGUUAGAUUCUGUUUGGUUCCUCAGAAAAGUUAAGGAAGACGGAAAAGCAAGCAUUUUGGUUCUUUAACCUUUGGGAUUCAGUUCUAAUAUCCAAUUAAGCUUCACAGUUUAUCUAUUGAUUUCGUUGCAGAAUUUUAUAGUGUUACCAUUCUUUUCAUUAGAACUUUUGUCUCACCAUCGAAUAAGUUUGCCACGUCGCUUGAUUAUGAUUUUAUUUUUUUUUAUUUUUUAU
rnacentral:misc_RNA from 1 species